GUACAAACGUGCCAUAUUCGUAACAUUCAUCCCAAAGAACCUAAUUUUAUAUUUAGUGAAAGAAAAACCCAAAGCGAACGUUAGUUUUCAAGAAAAGGAUUUGUCUUCACUCACAUCUUUCCUUAAAUCCCUGCAUCAUGAUUGGCGAAUUCCACAUGACAUUUGGAACCUACAUUAUGCAGUGUUCGAUUGCUGUCUGUCAUAUGACAAUUUGUCAGAACUCUUCUCCAAGUACAGAUCAACUAUGUGUUGUAUCUUAGCACCUCUCUGCAACCUGUGUUCAUUUGCUACUAGAGUUCUGUGCGUAUUGAUUUCGAUUGUCAUCGCUGUAGUAAUUGUUUUCAUCGUAGUAAAUCACACUUCGGGAAAGUAAUAAGGCCGUUUCCAAGAGCGCAGAAGUUAUUUUAAAAAUUUAUUUAUACAAUAAAAAAGUAAUAUCUCACUACUUACAAAUAAUGUAUUUACAUUGCACGAUCCUCUAUAAGAGAACGCGCACGAUAUUUUAGCAAAUUAAAAAUA